rnacentral:sRNA from 1 species
CUGUGGUUGACCCUUGGGGAACUGUCAUCUCCAAAACAGAAGAAAGGGAAGGUGUAAUCUACGCUAACAUUGAUCUUUCUAGAUUGGAAGAGGUUCGCAAAAUGAUUCCGAUAACUAAACAGAAGCGUUACGAUUUGUAUCAGCCAGCCACACUAGCCUUAAAGAAAAUCCGUCAAGAUGAUUUAUACGACAGUCAUUAGCUUAACAUCAAAGACUUAAGUAGAAAAAUGUUGAUAUAUGUAAAUACAAUGUUUGAGAACUAUUUAUACAGCAAAAUGUAUUCAGUAAAUGAACAUUUGUAAUUUGUACAAAGUUGAAUCUUAGUGUGUGGGAGGUAGACUAAAUACCAGUAGUUAUCAUUAUUCUUUAAAUAAAAAGAACUUAAAAGAGA